rnacentral:rRNA from 1 species
GAUGAACGCUAGCGGCAGGCCUAACACAUGCAAGUCGAGGGGCAGCACGUCUUCGGAUGGUGGCGACCGGCGCACGGGUGCGUAACGCGUAUGCAACCUACCUCUUACAGUGGGAUAGCCCAGAGAAAUUUGGAUUAAUACCGCAUAGUAUACAGAUUCAGCAUUGGGACUGUAUUAAACAUUUAUGGGUAAGAGAUGGGCAUGCGUUCUAUUAGUUAGUUGGAGUGGUAACGGCACCCCAAGACAGCGAUAGAUAGGGGCCCUGAGAGGGGGAUCCCCCACACUGGUACUGAGACACGGACCAGACUCCUACGGGAGGCAGCAGUGAGGAAUUUUGGACAAUGGGCGCAAGCCUGAUCCAGCCAUGCCGCGUGAGUGAAGAAGGCCCU